GACGAACGCUGGCGGCGUGCCUAAUACAUGCAAGUAGAACGCACAGUUUAUACCGUAGCUUGCUACACCAUAGACUGUGAGUUGCGAACGGGUGAGUAACGCGUAGGUAACCUGCCUGGUAGCGGGGGAUAACUAUUGGAAACGAUAGCUAAUACCGCAUAAUAUUGAUUAUUGCAUGAUAAUUGAUUGAAAGAUGCUAUUGCAUCACUACCAGAUGGACCUGCGUUGUAUUAGCUAGUAGGUGAGGUAACGGCUCACCUAGGCGACGAUACAUAGCCGACCUGAGAGGGUGAUCGGCCACACUGGGACUGAGACACGGCCCAGACUCCUACGGGAGGCAGCAGUAGGGAAUCUUCGGCAAUGGACGAAAGUCUGACCGAGCAACGCCGCGGGAGUGAAGAAGGGUUUCGGAUCGUAAAGCUCUGUUGUAAGAGAAGAACGGGUGUGAGAGUGGAAAGUUCACACUGUGACGGUAUCUUACCAGAAAGAGACGGCUAACUACGUG
rnacentral:rRNA from 1 species